AGUGAACGCUGGCGGUAGGCCUAACACAUGCAAGUCGAACGGCAGCACAGUAAGAGCUUGCUCUUACGGGUGGCGAGUGGCGGACGGGUGAGGAAUACAUCGGAAUCUACUUUUUCGUGGGGGAUAACGUAGGGAAACUUACGCUAAUACCGCAUACGACCUACGGGUGAAAGCAGGGGAUCUUCGGACCUUGCGCGAUUGAAUGAGCCGAUGUCGGAUUAGCUAGUUGGCGGGGUAAAGGCCCACCAAGGCGACGAUCCGUAGCUGGUCUGAGAGGAUGAUCAGCCACACUGGAACUGAGACACGGUCCAGACUCCUACGGGAGGCAGCAGUGGGGAAUAUUGGACAAUGGGCGCAAGCCUGAUCCAGCCAUACCGCGUGGGUGAAGAAGGCCUUCGGGUUUUAAAGCCCUUUUGGUGGGAAAGAAAAGCAGCAGGUUAAUACCCCGCUGUUCUGACGGUACCCAAAGAAUAAGCACCGGCUAACUUCGUG
rnacentral:rRNA from 1 species